CUCCCUUGUAUAAUCCCAUCAAAAAUCGCUUACAAAAGAAUAUAAACCUGAGGCUUAUAGUCAGAGGUUUACGGUAUGCCUUUGCAGGCUUUGCCCAUGUGGCUUAUGUAGUUGUAAAGACUGUUCACAUGGGCAAUAGAAUAAGAAAGUUAGGAAACUUGAUGCAGACAUAAUGGACUUCAUUAUCUACAUGUUUUUGUCUUGGUUUGUGCAAGAAAUGAUCGUUCAUUGUCACAUGUGUAUUGUAUUUUUGCUAAAGCAACCAAAAGCUACUGCCAUUUGUGUUCAAGGUUGAAGCAUGCAAAAAUUUUCAGGUUUUACGUUUCAACGUAACGUUGCAAAGGAUAUCACGCCCG